rnacentral:rRNA from 1 species
UACGAAGGGUGCAAGCGUUACUCGGAAUUACUGGGCGUAAAGCGUGCGUAGGUGGUGAGUUAAGCCUGAUGUGAAAUCCCCGGGCUCAACCUGGGAAUGGCAUUGGAUACUGGCUCGCUAGAGUGCGGUAGAGGGUGGUGGAAUUCCCGGUGUAGCAGUGAAAUGCGUAGAGAUCGGGAGGAACAUCUGUGGCGAAGGCGGCCACCUGGACCAACACUGACACUGAGGCACGAAAGCGUGGGGAGCAAACAGG